GCUCGUGGAGCGGCCGAUAUGUGAUUAGCUAGGUGGUAGGGGAAAAGCCUACCAAGGCAUCGAUCAGUAGCUGGUCUGAGAGGACGACCAGCCACACUGGAAGUGAGACACGGUCCAGACUCCUACGGGAGGCAGCAGUGGGGAGUUUUGGACAAUGGGCGAAAGCCUGGUCCAAAAGUGCCGCGUGAGUGAAGAAGGCCUUCGGGUGUAAAUUAAUGGGUCAGGGAAGAAACGGUGAGGGCUAAUAUCUCUUGC
rnacentral:rRNA from 1 species